AAAAUUAAGAAUAUGAUGUUAGUUCAGACUAAAUACUAUAUAGAGAGACAUAACACAUGCAAGUCAAACGAUUAUAAAUUAAUAUAUAUAUUAUUAUUAAAUAUAUUUUAAUAAUAAUAUGAAAUAAUGAUAGUCAAGUGGCGUAUUCGUGAGUAAUAUAAUAGAAUAGGAACUAAUAAUUAAGUUAAAUACUUGAUAAAAGAUAAAGAUAUUUUACAAAAAUAUUGUUAUUAGUCGAGCUAUUAUUAGUAUAGGUAUUAUGUAGGUUAAAAGCCAUACAUAGCCGACAAUCUAUAGCAAUUAAUUAGCGUUAUAAUUGCCACGUCGAUAAUGAAAUAUAAUCGAUAUCUAUAGGAUACAGCAGUGAGGAAUAUUGGGCAAUGAUCGAAAGAUUGACCCAGUUAUCUAUAAUAACGAGAUUCAAUACAAUAAUAUUUUAUAAUUAUAAAAAAUAUAAUAAUAAAAGAAUCAAUUGUUAAAAAAUAAAGUUAUAUCCAAAUGAGAAUAAUGAUAGUAAUUUUAUAUUCAAAAGAAUAUAUAUUAUUGUUACGACAAUAAUAGGAGAUAAGUCCCAACUAAAAUAUGUGCCAGCAGUUGCGGUUAUACAUAGGGGGCAAGUAUUAGUCAUAUUGGUUUAAAGGAUUUUAAAGGAUCCGCAGAAUUUACUUAAAAAAUAAAAAUAAGUAUAGAGUUGAUAAAAGUAAUAAAAGAAUUAUGAUAGUAAUGAUGAAAUAUUAUAAAUAAUCAUAGGACUGCUAUAAGCGAAAGUAUUUAUUAUAUAUCAACUGACAUUGAGGGAUGAAGGCUAGAAUAGUAAAAUGGAUUCGAUACCCAAGUAAUUCUAGCAGUAAACUAUGAGUACUGAAUAAUUUAUAAAAAAUAAUUAAAUUAAAUUAUUUAAGAGAAAUCAAUAGUAUUCCACCAGGAGAGUAUAAUUACUCAAUAGAAACCCAAUACAAUAGACGGUUAUAAUCAAUAGCAGUGGAGUAUGUUAUUUAAUUCGUCGAUCCGCGAAAACCUUACCACAUCUUGAAUAAUAUUUCUAAAUAAUAUUACAGGCGUUACAUAGUUGUCUUCAGUUCGUGCUGUGAAGUUUAAGGUUAGUUCCGUAAACGAACGUAUCCCUAUAUAAAUUAAGAUAAUAUUAUAAUAAUAAUAUAUUAAUAAUUUAUAAUUCCUUAUUUAAUAAAUAAGGAAAAUAGGAUUAAGACAAAUCAUUAUGACCCUAAUGAUGUGGGCUAUAGACGUACUAUAAAUAAAUGUAAAAAAUUUAAUAAAAUUAUAAAUAAUAUAUAAAAAUUAAAUGAUAAAUAAAACACAUUUUACCAUGUUACAUAUUUAUAUGUAAUAUAUUCGUAUGGAUUACACUCUGAAAUUCGGGUGUAUGAAACAAGAAUUGCUAGUAAUCUGUUAUUAAGUAAAUAACGGUGAAUAUUAUUAAUUGUUUCGCACUAAUUACUCGUCACGCGAUAAGUUAAAAUUAAUUAUGAAAAUUAAAUAUAUAUUAUAUAUAUAUUUACAUAUAUAUACAAUAUAGCAACUAUUUUAAUUAAUUAUUAUGUUAAUAAUAUGUUAAUUAUUAUGGUUUAAUUUAGUAAUAGGUUUUAUAUUAUUGCGAAGUCGAAAUACAGUUACUGUAGGGGAACCUGCAGUGGGCUAUAUUUUUAU
rfam:Cyberlindnera fabianii strain 65 BON22_Sc21, whole genome shotgun sequence.